UAGGGAAUCUUCGGCAAUGGACGAAAGUCUGACCGAGCAACGCCGCGUGAGUGAAGAAGGUUUUCGGAUCGUAAAACUCUGUUGUUAGAGAAGAACAAGUGUGAGAGUAACUGUUCGCCCCUUGACGGUAUCUAACCAGAAAGCCACGGCUAACUACGUGCCAG
rnacentral:rRNA from 1 species